GACGAACGCUGGCGGCGUGCUUAACACAUGCAAGUCGAGCGGUAAGGCCCUUUCGGGGGUACGACGAGCGGCGAACGGGUGAGUAACACGUGGGUGACCUGCCCUCAGCUCUGGGAUAAGCCUGGGAAACCGGGUACUAAUACUGGAUAUGACUCCAUGACGCAUGUUGUGGGGUGGAAAGCCUUGUGCGGCUGAGGAUGGGCCCGCGGCCUAUCAGCUUGUUGGUGGGGUGAGGCCUACCAAGGCGACGACGGGUAGCCGGCCUGAGAGGGCGACCGGCCACACUGGGACUGAGACACGGCCCAGACUCCUACGGGAGGCAGCAGUGGGGAAUCUUGCGCAAUGGGCGAAAGCCUGACGCAGCGACGCCGCGUGAGGGAUG
rnacentral:rRNA from 1 species